rnacentral:sRNA from 1 species
UAACGGCUCUGGUUUCCUCUUGCGCCCGGCCCAGUUUUUCCGUUUUAGCUUCAGUUGUCAUAGGCUGUGCUGUCGCUUUCUCUGGGAAAGGACGAGAUAAUAGUAGCAGAAUUUCACAAAAAAAUCAAAGAGGCAUUUGAAGUGUUUGACCAUGAGUCGAAUAAUACAGUGGAUGUGAGAGAGAUUGGAACAAUUAUCAGGUCAUUAGGAUGCUGCCCUACUGAAGGAGAGCUGCAUGAUCUGAUUGCAGAGGUAGAGGAAGAAGAACCCACUGGAUACAUUCGAUUCGAAAAAUUUCUUCCGGUGAUGACAGAAAUACUACUAGAAAGAAUACAGACCAAUUCCAGAAGAUGUCCUUCUUCGAGCUUUUGAGGUUUUAGAUUCAGCUAAACGUGGAUUUCUUACUAAGGACGAACUGAUCAAGUAUAUGACUGAAGAAGACGCUCUCGUGCACAGAAGGCAGUAGAGGAAGGUUGCGUCGAGAUUGCGUACCUCCCCAGGCCCCACCUUCGAGGAUUCUUUCAAAAGUUCGGACUGAUGUUCAACUUCACAUCUUGUCUCAAGGCAGUCCUCUCUGUUUAGUAUCAUAGAGUUGGCUUUAUGGAAUGUAAUUCAUUUUUAUCUUUAGCACAAAUUUGUCUGUUUCUUUUAAGGCCACCAGAAAGCACAACAUAGACUCCCCAUAGAAAUCUCAUUUUAUCUCCUAAGUUGCAGAAUAAACGUACCUUGUUUGCAAA